AGUUUGAUCAUGGCUCAGAUUGAACGCUGGCGGCAUGCCUUACACAUGCAAGUCGAACGGUAACGGGCCUUCGGGUGCCGACGAGUGGCGAACGGGUGAGUAAUGCAUCGGAACGUACCUUCAGUGGGGAUAACGUAGCGAAAGUUACGCUAAUACUGCAUAUUCUGUGAGCAGGAAAGCAGGGGAUCGCAAGACCUUGCGCUGAUUGAGCGGCCGAUGUCAGAUUAGCUAGUUGGUGAGGUAAAGGCUCACCAAGGCGACGAUCUGUAGCGGGUCUGAGAGGAUGAUCCGCCACACUGGAACUGAGACACGGUCCAGACUCCUACGGGAGGCAGCAGUGGGGAAUUUUGGACAAUGGGGCAACCCUGAUCCAGCCAUGCCGCGUGAGUGAAGAAGGCCUUCGGGUUGUAAAGCUCUUUCGGCCGGGAAGAAAUCGCAUGGGUUAAUACCCUGUGCGGAUGACGGUACCGGCAUAAGAAGCACCGGCUAACUACGUG
rnacentral:rRNA from 1 species